rnacentral:rRNA from 1 species
UACGUAGGGGGCAAGCGUUGUCCGGAUUUAUUGGGCGUAAAGAGCGUGUAGGCGGUUAUGCAGGUCCGCUGUGAAAACUGGAGGCUUAACCUCCAGACGUCGGUGGAAACCGUAUGACUAGAGUCCGGAAGAGGAGAGUGGAAUUCCUGGUGUAGCGGUGAAAUGCGCAGAUAUCAGGAGGAACACCUAUUGCGAAGGCAGCUCGCUGGGACGUAACUGACGCUGAGACGCGAAAGCGUGGGGAGCGAACAGG